UAUUUACGAUUUGUUAGAAGCUUAUGGAGAACUGUUGUAGUGAAGUAUGGAUAUGAGAGAAGGAAAAGGACAGUAAAACAUUCCAAACUCCCUUCAGCACCAACCCCCAGAGCAACUCUACACAGAUGUAACGCAGCUGCUGCCAAAGCUUCAUCAAGAUCCUGCCUUUUAACAUUGCCCAUGGCACAACUAAGGUACCGCAGAUCAGUCAUAACUCAACUUCAAAACCAGUUACAGAAAGAAUAUCAUCUGCAACACCACAAGGCUCAAGGACUCUAAUACUGCAAGGUACCAUCCUGUGUUGACUCCAAAUUCACUUCAAAGCCUGAAAGGAGGACAAUGAGUUCUGUGAAAAUCAGUGGGAUGCUGGAAAGCUAAGACAUAAGCUAAGCUGCUUGUUACAAAGAUGCUGGCCAUCAUUCCAGAGAGGAUAUCACAGAUCUAACCCCAACAAAACAUCUGGCAACAGGAAUGUUUUCUACACAGGCUGUGAAAAAGUAGGCUGAGAAAAUUUUUGUUGGGGGCCUCAGCCUGGCGUCCAGCUGUGUGCCAUUUUUGUGCACUACUAGUUAUAUAAAACAGUAAUAUUUUAUUCAGGUAUAUGGACUAUCUAAUGCUAUACCUUGUACAAGUGUUUUCUUGAUAAGUAAGUAUUUUUGAAAUUUUGGUAUUUUGAGACAGCAUUUAGAAAAUUCUUCUAUAAUUAUACUUCUGUCAACUACGUGAGGUUGAAACCCUAAAAAUAUCUCUAUUUCAUAUUGAAACUCUUAUCUGGAAAAUGCUGAAUUUUUGCAUGUGUAAUCGUGUCUCAAAUCCCGAAAAGGACAGAUAAUAUGUUCAUACUUUCAGAUUACAGCAAAGCAAACCAAAUCUUACUUUUUGAACUGUGGAAAAACAUUAGCUGUGAUUCUAACCUCAGGACAACAGAUGACAAAGCUAGGACAUCACAGUGCAGCACUGACUGUCUAGUGACAGAAAAUAUCUGGCUCUAAAAGAAAAUCCACAGUACUGUUAUGUUUGCUUGGAUGUUUUAAAUACAAGGAAUGAUCUCUGUGGGUUCUGCUGUAUCCUUCUAUUCAAACAGAACAAUGCCACUUGCUGCAGCAGGGCUGCUCUCCAGCUCCCACAAAUCUGCUCAGCCCAUCCAUGGGCCCAGGGAGGUGCCCAGUGCCCGGGGCUGAGUCUGCCCCAGUGCCCCUAGCUGGGCCACUGGGACAGGCACUGGCUGACAUGCCUUGCCCUGAUAGACCCUGAUGGA